CUGAACACCCAUUCUAUGGUUGGGAAACCACCUCCAGCAUCUUCAUGGGAUGUAGCUGAAUAUCACAUUGUGGUGGGGAAACGGCCUUUGGCAUCUACAUGGGAUGUGACUGGAUACCCAUCCUGUACUUGGGAAGCCACCUCCAGCAUCCAUGGGGUGUGGCUGGACACCACCCUGCAGUGAGGAAACAUUUCCAGUAUCUUUCUUCAUGUGCUGGACACUGUUCUGUAAUCCACUGAUUGGGAAAUCAACUUCAGCAUCUUCACUGAGGUGUGGAUGGCACCCACCCUGUGGUUUGAAAACCAAGUCCAGCAUCUUCCUGGGGUCUGGCUAGAAACCCACCCUCUUCCAGGUAGACCACCUCCACAUCCUCUUGUGGUGUGUGGUGUGGGUGAGUUUAUCCCCUGGUCUUCUCAUCUGGGUGUAUAUAUAGUUUGGCAGGUUUUCCUCUCUCCUGGGUUGUGGUACAGAUAGUUAACUGAGCUGUGGGACAUGCUCUGUCUCAGGAUGGUUGAUGUUCCACAAACUUAGGCCCCAGGUUAGCACACAGCUCUUUUGGACACAGAAGAUGAGAUACCAUUGAGUCUUGCAGAGGGACCCCUGGUAGAGAGGGCCUCGUCUCAAGAGAUAUCAUUUGUCAUUCCCAUUUACACUGCAUCCAAAUGUCAGGACAAGACAUGGGGCUGAUAUGUGGUGGUCAGAGGCUGAAAGUUGAGGGUUUAAUGACUUAGGUUGAUGUCCUCUCUGCAGUGUGUGUGUGGGUCUAUCCUGUGGGCGUCUGCUAGGCUUUUGAUAUCAUGUUUCUGGACUCUAAACUCUCACAACUGUGUCUGGGUUUUCCUUUGUGUUGCUGCAGCCAGUGCUUCCCAUCUUGAUUUGGGUCAGUCCUCAUCCCAGUGGCAUCUUGGACAGUGCAUCUAGCCCUUUAUCAAAAAUAUCUUUCCUCAUUUCUUACAUCCUUAUAGGGCAGUGAUGGUGAAUGUUUUAGAGGUUUCAGUGAUAUAAACAGCCCACUGUGGCAUGCAUGCCCACAGUGGUUCACCACCACUGUUGGGGGUCAGUUUUUUUUAUCCCACAGCUGAAGUCUAAGCUUGUCAACCCUGCUUUGGAGAGGCAACACAUGGCAUCGAAUUUCUACUGCCGAAUGAAUGAAUGAAGACAAAGGAAGGGAACAGGAUGACUGGAAAUGGAGGGUCUGGGUGUGUAAGGGGCCGAGGUAGAGAAACAAGUCAAUGGAGGCCUCGAUAACAAGCUUCCCCAUCUGGCCAGGAGCUGCUCUACCUAGCAGCCCCUUCCCUUCACUGCCACUGCAGUGCUGUGUCCCAUCAGGGCUGGCAAUGAUGAUGUCAGCAUUAAUGUUGACAGUGAUGGCAAUAAUAGUGACGGUGCUGAUGGUAAUGGACAGCCAUGGUUGGAGAUGGGGGUGCAGAGGGAAGGGUAGGUUGUGCAUAGUAGGAAAAAACUGUUUCUCCCACAGUGUUCUCAAUACUCAACGCGCAGAACGCUCCUGACUCAGAUGUGCCUCAUCAGUUCUCCAGCAUCAGCUGGGUGCUCUGCAGCCCUGUUCUGUUUUGAGUCUAACCCGAGUCAGUGCAGGCUCCACAGGGAUUGCAUUCUCGGUACAGAAGGCCAAGGUGUGUCCCAUGUGUGCCUUUCCUGUUGUUCCGUGGACAGGGAUGUGUGGUCUCUAUCACUGUG
ensembl:lncRNA